CCUACGGGUGGCAGCAGUGAGGAAUAUUUGUCAAUGGACGCAAGUCUGAACCAGCCAUGCCGCGUGCAGGAAGACGGCUCUAUGAGUUGUAAACUGCUUUUGUACGAGGGUAAAUCCCGACACAUGUAUCGGGUUGCAAGUAUCGUACGAAUAAGGAUCGGCUAACUCCGUGCCAGCAGCCGCGGUAAUACGGAGGAUUCAAGCGUUAUCCGGAUUUAUUGGGGUUAAAGGGUGCGCAGGCGGAGGUGCAAGUCAGCGGUCAAAUUGUGGGGCUCAACCCCGUACUGCCGUUGAAACUGCAUCCCUUGAGUGCGCGAGAAGUAUGCGGAAUGCGUGGUGUAGCGGUGAAAUGCAUAGAUAUCACGCAGAACUCCGAUUGCGAAGGCAGCAUACCGGCGCGCAACUGACGCUCAUGCACGAAAGCGUGGGUAUCGAACAGGAUUAGAUACCCCUGUAGUC
rnacentral:rRNA from 1 species